rfam:Oryza nivara chromosome 1, whole genome shotgun sequence.
UUUAAAUACAGCCAUAAAUUUUUAUAUCUAACUUUGGUUAUCCGUCUUAUUUAAAAUUUUCUAUAAUUAAUAUUUUUAUUGUUUUAUAUGAUAAAAUAUGAAUAAUACUUUAUGUAUGACUUAUGUUUGUUAAUUUUUUUUUAGAAAGUUUUUAAAUAAGAUAGAUAAUUAAAGUUAGAUAGGAAACUUAUGACUGUAUUUAAA